rnacentral:rRNA from 1 species
CAGCAGCCACGGUAAAACGAAGGGUGCAAGCGUUAAUCGGAAUUACUGGGCGUAAAGCGCACGCAGGCGGUUUGUUAAGUCAGAUGUGAAAUCCCCGAGCUUAACUUGGGAACUGCAUUUGAAACUGGCAAGCUAGAGUCUUGUAGAGGGGGGUAGAAUUCCAGGUGUAGCGGUGAAAUGCGUAGAGAUCUGGAGGAAUACCGGUGGCGAAGGCGGCCCCCUGGACAAAGACUGACGCUCAGGUGCGAGAGCGCGGGGAGCAAACAGGAUUAGAUACCCCUGUAGUCCCUGUCUCUUAUAA